rnacentral:rRNA from 1 species
CCAGGCCUACGGGGCACAGCAGUAGGGAAUCUUCCACAAUGGACGAAAGUCUGAUGGAGCAACGCCGCGUGAGUGAAGAAGGGUUUCGGCUCGUAAAGCUCUGGUGGUAGUGAAGAAAGAUAAAGGUAGGUACUGGCCUUUAUUUGACGGUAAAUACUUAGAAAGUCACGGCUAACUACGUGCCAGCAGCCGCGGUAAUACGUAGGUGGCAAGCGGUGUUCGGAUUUAUUGGGCGU